UACGUAGGGUGCAAGCGUUGUCCGGAAUUAUUGGGCGUAAAGAGCUCGUAGGCGGCUUGUUGCGUCGUCCGUGAAAACCCGUGGCUUAACUGCGGGCUUGCGGUCGAUACGGGCGGGCUGGAGUUCGGUAGGGGAGACUGGAAUUCCUGGUGUAGCGGUGAAAUGCGCAGAUAUCAGGAAGAACACCUAUGGCGAAGGCAGCUCUCUGGGACGGUACUGACGCUGAGACGCGAAAGCGUGGGGAGCGAACAGG
rnacentral:rRNA from 1 species